rnacentral:lncRNA from 1 species
UUAUUUCCCCAAUACAUUUUUUUUUCCUACUGUACAGCAUGGUGACUCAGUUACACAUACAUGUAUUGUUCUUUUUUCUCACAUUAUCAUGCUCCAACAUAAAUGACUAGAGAUAGUUCCCAGUGCUACACAGCAGGAUCUCAAAAAGGCAAUAGUCCGGACAAAACUUUCCUUAAAAAAGACACAUGCACCCGCAUGUUCAUUGCAGCACUAUUCACAAUAGCCAAGACAUGGAAACAACCCAAAUGUCCAUCGACAGAUGAUUGGAUUAGGAAGAUGUAUAUAUACAUCUUUUUUUAAAAGUGCAUUAUAUUGCUUUCUAACUUUCUCACCUCAUUUAUUUAAUUUUAUUGGAGUGUAGUUGACUUACAAUGUUGUUUUAGUUUCAGGUGUACAGCAAAGGGAAUCAGUUAUAUAUCCAUUCUUUUUUCUUCCAUAUAAACUAUUAGAGAAUAUUGAGUAGAUUUCCCUGUGCUAUAUAGCAGGUUUUUGCUAGUUAUCUCCUCUAUUCAUAGUAGUAUGUAUACAUGUCAGUUAUCUUUCUUGUUUAAUAUUGAAUUCAUCUAAGUCUCUGCAGAUAUCACUGAGCUCAGCUUUGAACAUUUUUUAAUGUCUCGCUUUUUAUUUUCUAAAUUUUUUUAACUGAAACUUUUAUUUCCUCUGGUGAUUGUUAUUUAGAAGAGUAGAAUCAUUUCUGUUUACUUUUUAACAUUUAAAAACUUUACUUUGCAUUUUUUUUUAAAGUUUUGAAACAAAUAAAAUUUUAGGGAGAAAGAGUAAGAAAUUAGACGGCUUCUUGUGUUUUCAACUGCAGUACUAUAAGGGCCUAUUUUUACAUUUUCCUACUUACUAAUUCUGACAGAUUUCAAUUCUGCCGUAUUUCUUCUUUAAAUAAUAUUUUUCUUGACUUCCUUCCUUAUAUAAUGUGUUUUUAGCCAUUGCCCUUAGUCUUUGAUCUCAUUCUGAGUGUAAAUUUUCUUAUCAAUUUGAUAUAAUAGCUGAUAACUUCUCAGGUGCAACAUUAGAGAAAAUUUCAUUUCAAGGAGAGUCAUGACCUCUGCCUAUUAAAGCUACAUGUUUGACCUUUGUUUAUCCCUAUGAAUUGCUUCAGCGUCCUCCUGGAGAAAGAUUUUGACUGUCAGAAGUUCCUAAUAGCUUGUGUCUACCCAGCAGUAGUUGGUGUGUGGGAGAGAUGGAGUGAAUCCACUCUAUUUUUUUUUAUUAGCC